AUAGGGACAACUUGAGAAGGGUCUCCAACACAUUUUCUCAACAUAGAUACAUGGAAUACCAGGUGGACAAAUUCCAAUUCGGAUGGCAAUUCUAACUCAUAAGCAACUUUUCCAAUUCGUUGAAGAAUUUAAUACGGAUCGAUAUACCUUGGACUCAGCUUACCUUUCUUCCAAAAAUGCAAACACCCUUAUUGGAUUUAUGUUAACUAACGUAUGGCAUGAACAAACGCGUGUGGAUAUCGGUUGUAACAGGAAAGAGCCGAUAGUGUUCAGCAAUGCAGCAACUCAAGCAGACAUCCAACCUUGAACAGGUUGUCACAUUUCCAUAACAAAACCAUUCAAAGUGACAUUUAAACUCAUAAAAUUAACUCGAGAUCUUAACUUAAAUGAAAACUCGACAUCAUGAUAGCAAUUCAAGCAUAAGCAUAGAGGAUGACCCUUCAAACUCAGCCUUUACUAACUAAACAUACUCAACUACAUCACACCACUGCAAAGAGAUUCACCAGCAAGAAAUUCGAUCAUAACACAAAACAGACCACUAUAAAUUGAAUCUCAUAGCUCAAAAGCACCAAAAUAAAAUGGAGUCGCAUAGAAUAAAAGAAAGGAAAAGUGAACCUGAAUUUGCAAAUCUCUUUUAUAAAAUUUAUAAACAGGAUAAGACGACAGUUGAAAACCAAGCUCGAAAUUCAAUUUGUAUCACCUUGGAACUCACAUCCGGAUUCAAAAAUAAAAAUUAAAUAUAUGUUUCUUUUAAACUCUUAAAGAACUCUUCAAAAAAGGAAAUGGAAUCAGAAAACCAAAAAAAAUCGAAGCCUUUCAACUUUUCUUUAAAUUUUUGUUCUUCCUUCUCAAAAUCGGAACUAGCCCUAUUUGAAAACAAAUCCCUUGAACAAUGUAGGGGUCAGAUUGAAUGAACUCAAUCCAAUGCCUCAAACUCAUAGAGUGAAUCCGCUCCAGAACCUUCCAAUAUGUGAGAUAUAUCCAAUUUGAGCGGUGAGCGAGGAGAGGAAUCUCGCAUCAGAAACCGUUAGAACUGUAAGAGGAGGAAAUGGGAACACCCGUUUGAGAGCUUGAGCUUCACUCGCCUGAACUUGGACUAGGUUGGGGCUUGGUUCGAAUGACGUUUGGAGAAGAGGAGUAGGGUUGCGUCGUUUGAGCUCAGGAGAUUAGGGUUCUUGGGCGUUUUGAGUUGUAAUUUGGGGCAGGUCGGGUCAGCGAGCCGGU
rnacentral:lncRNA from 1 species